CCUACGGGAGGCAGCAGUGGGGAAUCUUGCGCAAUGGCCGAGAGGCUGACGCAGCGACGCCGCGUGGGGGAUGAAGCAUUUCGGUGUGUAAACCCCUGUUGCUCGGGACGAACGACCGGUUUCGACCGGUGUGACGGUGCCGAGUGAGGAAGCACCGGCUAACUCCGUGCCAGCAGCCGCGGUAAUACGGAGGGUGCGAGCGUUGUCCGGAAUCACUGGGCGUAAAGGGCGCGUAGGUGGUUAGAUGCGCCGGUGGUGAAAGCGCAGGGCUCAACCCUGCGUCGGCCAUCGGGACGGUCUGACUGGAGCACUGUAGAGGCAGGUGGAAUUCCGGGUGUAGCGGUGGAAUGCGUAGAGAUCCGGAAGAACACCGGUGGCGAAGGCGGCCUGCUGGGCAGUUGCUGACACUGAGGCGCGACAGCGUGGGGAGCAAACAGGAUUAGAUACCCUGGUAGUCCACGCCGUAAACGAUGGGCACUAGGUGCUUGGGGGAGCGACCCCCUGAGUGCCGACGCUAACGCAUUAAGUGCCCGCCUGGGGAGUACGACCGCAAGGUUGAAACUUCAAGGAAUUGACGG
rnacentral:rRNA from 1 species